rnacentral:rRNA from 1 species
AGAGUUUGAUCCUGGCUCAGGACGAACGCUGGCGGCGUGCUUAACACAUGCAAGUCGAGCGAGGCCCCCUUUCGGGGGGCGACCUAGCGGCGAACGGGUGAGUAACACGUGGGCAACCUGCCCCCAACACUGGGAUAACCUCGGGAAACCGGGGCUAAUACUGGAUACGACCUCGGAGGGCAUCCUCUCGAGGUAGAAAGCUUUCGUGGUUGGGGAUGGGCCCGCGGCCUAUCAGCUUGUUGGUGGGGUAACGGCCCACCAAGGCGACGACGGGUAGCCGGCCUGAGAGGGCGACCGGCCACACUGGGACUGAGACACGGCCCAGACUCCUACGGGAGGCAGCAGUGGGGAAUAUUGCGCAAUGGGCGGAAGCCUGACGCAGCAACGCCGCGUGAGGGACGAAGGCCUUCGGGUCGUAAACCUCUUUCAGCAGGGACGAAGCGAGAGUGACGGUACUUGCAGAAGAAGCGCCGGCUAACUACGUGCCAGCAGCCGCGGUAAUACGUAGGGCGCAAGCGUUGUCCGGAAUUAUUGGGCGUAAAGAGCUCGUAGGCGGUCUGUCGCGUCGGCUGUGCAAACCCAGGGGCUCAACCCCGGGCCUGCAGUCGAUACGGGCGGACUUGAGUUCGGUAGGGGAGACUGGAAUUCCUGGUGUAGCGGUGGAAUGCGCAGAUAUCAGGAGGAACACCGGUGGCGAAGG